CAGCCGUACCAUGCUGAAUAUACCGGUUCUCGUUAGAUCACCGAAGUUAAGCAUCAUUGGGCGCGGUCAGUACUUGGGUGGGUGACCACCUGGGAACACUGCGUGCCGUU
rnacentral:rRNA from 1 species